GUGUCUUAAGGUAAGAACAGGGCACUUCUACUGCUGGUACUGUAUUGUUAACAUGAAAUAUACCGGCUGACUUUUAUUCCAUACUCCUUUUAAACACCCUGCGCUGAACAGAUAGCCUACAGUAUAUACUUCAAAGGAUACUACUCCGGAGGCCACGAGACUGUUCCAAUGGGACUUAAAGGGAGACUGAGGAGGUCCCCAGAUCCUUAAAAGGGUCUACAGCUGCACCAUCAAGAGCAUCCUGACCGGUUGCAUCACCGCCUGGUAUGGCAACUGCUCGGCAUCUGACCGUAAAGCAUCUACAGAGGGUAGUGCGAACGGCCCAGUACAUCACUGGGGCCAAGCUUCCUGCCAUCCAGGACCUAUAUAAUCGGCGGUAUCAGAGGGAAGCCUGUAAAAUUGUCAUAGACUCCAGUCACCCAAGUUAUAGACUGUUUUCUCUGCUACCACACAUCAAGCAAUACCGGAGCGCCAGGUCUAGGACCAAAAGACUCCUCAACAGCUUCUAUUGCCACCAAUUUACAUUGAAACCCCUCCCCCUCCCUUUGUACACUGCUACUCACUGUUUGUUUGUUAUCUAUGCAUAGUCACUUCUCCCCCACCUACAUGUACAGAUUACCUCAACGAGCCUGUAACCCUGCACACUGACUCUGUACCGGUGCCCCCUGCCCUGUAUAUAGCCUCGUUAUUGUUAUUCUUAUUGUGUUACUUUUUAUUUUAGCCUACUAGGUAAAUCUUUUCUUAACUCUUCUUGAACUGCACUGCUGGUUAAGGGCUUGUAAGUAAGCAUUUCACGGUAAAGUCUAAACUUGUUGGAUUAGACGCAUGUGACAAAUAAAGUUUGAUUUG